rnacentral:tRNA from 1 species
GGAAGGAUGGCCAAGCGGUCGAAGGCAGCGGUCUUGAAAACCGCCGAUGGGAAAACAUCCUAGAGUUCGAAUCUCUAUCUUUCUU